rnacentral:rRNA from 1 species
UACGUAGGUGACAAGCGUUGUCCGGAUUUACUGGGCGUAAAGGGCGCGUAGGCGGCUUAACAAGUCACUUGUGAAAUCUCCGGGCUUAACUCGGAACGGCCAAGUGAAACUGUCAAGCUAGAGUGCAGAAGGGGCAAUCGGAAUUCUUGGUGUAGCGGUGAAAUGCGUAGAUAUCAAGAGGAACACCUGAGGUGAAGACGGGUUGCUGGGCUGACACUGACGCUGAGGCGCGAAAGCCAGGGGAGCAAACGGG